rnacentral:rRNA from 1 species
GCAAGUCGAGCGGAACACUUGGAGCUUGCUCCAAGCGUUUAGCGGCGGACGGGUGAGUAACACGUGGGCAACCUGCCCUGCAGAUCGGGAUAACUCCGGGAAACCGGUGCUAAUACCGAAUAGUUUUCGGCCCCUCCUGGGGCCGUACGGAAAGACGGUUUCGGCUGUCACUGCAGGAUGGGCCCGCGGCGCAUUAGCUAGUUGGUGGGGUAACGGCCCACCAAGGCGACGAUGCGUAGCCGACCUGAGAGGGUGAUCGGCCACACUGGGACUGAGACACGGCCCAGACUCCUACGGGAGGCAGCAGUAGGGAAUCUUCCGCAAUGGACGCAAGUCUGACGGAGCAACGCCGCGUGAGUGACGAAGGUUUUCGGAUCGUAAAACUCUGUUGUGAGGGAAGAACACGUACCAGCUAACUACUGGUACCUUGACGGUACCUCACCAGAAAGCCACGGCUAACUACGUGCCAGCAGCCGCGGUAAUACGUAGGUGGCAAGCGUUGUCCGGAAUUAUUGGGCGUAAAGCGCGCGCAGGCGGUCCCUUAAGUCUGAUGUGAAAGCCCACGGCUCAACCGUGGAGGGUCAUUGGAAACUGGGGGACUUGAGUGCAGAAGAGGAAAGUGGAAUUCCACGUGUAGCGGUGAAAUGCGUAGAGAUGUGGAGGAACACCAGUGGCGAAGGCGACUUUCUGGUCUGUAACUGACGCUGAGGCGCG